GGGGGCCAAAAAUGCAAGUCGAGCGAGCUUGCCUAGAUGAUUUUAGUGCUUGCACUAAAUGAAACUAGAUACAAGCGAGCGGCGGACGGGUGAGUAACACGUGGGUAACCUGCCCAAGAGACUGGGAUAACACCUGGAAACAGAUGCUAAUACCGGAUAACAACACUAGACGCAUGUCUAGAGUUUGAAAGAUGGUUCUGCUAUCACUCUUGGAUGGACCUGCGGUGCAUUAGCUAGUUGGUAAGGUAACGGCUUACCAAGGCAAUGAUGCAUAGCCGAGUUGAGAGACUGAUCGGCCACAUUGGGACUGAGACACGGCCCAAACUCCUACGGGAGGCAGCAGUAGGGAAUCUUCCACAAUGGACGAAAGUCUGAUGGAGCAACGCCGCGUGAGUGAAGAAGGGUUUCGGCUCGUAAAGCUCUGUUGGUAGUGAAGAAAGAUAGAGGUAGUAACUGGCCUUUAUUUGACGGUAAUUACUUAGAAAGUCACGGCUAACUACGUGCCAGCAGCCGCGGUAAUACGUAGGUGGCAAGCGUUGUCCGGAUUUAUUGGGCGUAAAGCGAGUGCAGGCGGUUCAAUAAGUCUGAUGUGAAAGCCUUCGGCUCAACCGGAGAAUUGCAUCAGAAACUGUUGAACUUGAGUGCAGAAGAGGAGAGUGGAACUCCAUGUGUAGCGGUGGAAUGCGUAGAUAUAUGGAAGAACACCAGUGGCGAAGGCGGCUCUCUGGUCUGCAACUGACGCUGAGGCUC
rnacentral:rRNA from 1 species